AAAGCACAUUAGCAUAGCCACUAACAGUUUAAAUGAUAUUCUUUGAAGAAGUGUGUUUUCAAAGAUUUUUUUGAAGGAGUGGAGACUGUGAAAGUCUAACAGAGAAGGGAAGGGAGUUCCACAGAAAAGGUGCAGCCCUGGAGAAGUCUUGGAGGAGAGCAUCAGAUGUGGGAGUACAGACAGAGGAUAGAUGUAGGUCUUCGGCAAAGUACACGGACCUCGAUGGGACAUACUUGUGUUAUGGGCAAAUGAAAAUAUUACAAGUUUUAAACUGUGUACUUUGUCUUUAAGAUAUAUUGCAAACUGACAAGGUGUUAGAAAUGGAAGAUAUUGUUUUUCAUACAUGUUUCUUUAAGCAAUAACCUCUUACCUACUUUCAGUGCAUAAUAUGUUUACACCAAUUUGUCUAAGCUUAAUACAAAAACAAGUAAUACAUAACAUCUUCAAAGCAAUGCUAC